rnacentral:rRNA from 1 species
GACGAACGCUGGCGGCGUGCUUAACACAUGCAAGUCGAACGGAAAGGCCCUGCUUUUGUGGGGUGCUCGAGUGGCGAACGGGUGAGUAACACGUGAGUAACCUGCCCUUGACUUUGGGAUAACUUCAGGAAACUGGGGCUAAUACCGGAUAGGAGCUCCUGCUGCAUGGUGGGGGUUGGAAAGUUUCGGCGGUUGGGGAUGGACUCGCGGCUUAUCAGCUUGUUGGUGGGGUAGUGGCUUACCAAGGCUUUGACGGGUAGCCGGCCUGAGAGGGUGACCGGCCACCAUGCGACUGAGAGACGGCCCAGACUGCAACGGUAGGCAGCAGGGGGGAAUAUUGCACAAUGAGCGGAAGCCUGAGGCAGAAACGCCGCGUGCGGGAUGACGGCCUUCGGGUUGUAAACCGCUUUCGCCUGUGACGAAGCGUGAGUGACGGUAAUGGGUGAAGAAGCACCGGCUAACUACGUG